CGGGGUGCAGCAGGCGCGAAAACUCCACAAUGUACGGAAGUACGAUGGGGUUAUCUCGAGUGCAGUCCGAUAAGGGCUGCUUUUCCAUAGAGUAAUAUCCUGUGGGAAUAAGAGGGGGGCAAGACUGGUGUCAGCCGCCGCGGUAACACCAGCCCCUCGAGUGGUAGGGACUUUUAUUUGGCCUAAAGCGUCCGUAGCUGGCUGUAUCCGUUUCCCGGCAAAUCCGGCGUCUUAAGCGUCGGGCUUCGGGUAAUACCAUACAGCUUGAGGGUGGGAUAGGUGAGCGGUAUUUCUGGGGUAGGGGCGAAAUCCUUUGAUCCCAGGAGGACCACCAGUGGCGAAGGCUGCUCACUAGAACACGCCUGACGGUCAGGGACGAAAGCUGGGGCAGCGAACCGGAUUAGAUACCCGGGUAGUCCCAGCUGUAAACGAUGCUAGCUAGGUGUUGGGUCGGCCACGCGCCGCCCCAGUGCCGCAGGGAAGCCGUUAAGCUAGCCGCCUGGGGAGUACGGCCGCAAGGCUGAAACUUAAAGGAAUUGGCGGGGGAGCACAAGGGCAAUUCGCGCC
rnacentral:rRNA from 1 species